rnacentral:rRNA from 1 species
GAUGAACGCUGGCGGCGUGCCUAAUACAUGCAAGUCGAGCGAACAGAUGAGGAGCUUGCUCCUCUGACGUUAGCGGCGGACGGGUGAGUAACACGUGGAUAACCUACCUAUAAGACUGGGAUCACUUCGGGAAACCGGAGCUAAUACCGGAUAAUAUAUUGAACCGCAUGGUUCAAUAGUGAAAGACGGUUUUGCUGUCACUUAUAGAUGGAUACGCGCCGCAUUAGCUAGUUGGUACGGUAACGGCUUACCAAGGCGACGAUGCGUAGCCGACCUGAGAGGGUGAUCGGCCGCACGGGAACGGGGACGCGGUCCAGACUCCUACGAGAGGCAGCAGAAGGGAAUCUGCCGCAGUAGGGGGAAGCCUGACGGAGCAGCGCCGCGUGAGAGAUGAAGGUCUUCGGAUCGUAAAACUCUGUUAUGAGGGAAGAACAAAUGUGUAAGUAAAUAUGCACGGCUUGACGGUAACUAAUCAGAAAGCCACGGCUAACUACGUG